GUGCUUGCUUCGGCAGCACAUAUACUAAAAUUGAAACGAUACAGAGAAGAUUAGCAUGGCCCCUGCUCAAGGAUGACACGCAAAUUCGUGAAGCGUUUCAUAUUUUU
rnacentral:snRNA from 1 species